rnacentral:siRNA from 1 species
AGUGUCUAUUCCCUAUAAAGUGCC